UUGUUGAACUCCCAGCUUCAAGCAAGCCUCCCGCCUCAGCCUCCCAAAGUGCUGGGAUUACAGGCAUGUGGCACCACACCCUGCCCCUAAACUUUGAAAUUUGAGUACUGUUUUCCUGAUUUUUACUUUUGCUGACAGAAGCAACCAGCAAGAUGACAAGAAAUUUUGUGGUCUGAGAAAAUUGUAUAAAUGGUAUAAAAUGGAUAAUGUAAGUAGUUGGGAAGCAGAAUUCCUGUAUAAGCAUAUAGUUUUUCUUUUUUUAAAGUAAGCAGUUAAUUGGGCAGAGAUUGCAAUUUCAUGUCACAUCAUCAUUACCAUCAUUUUUAUAUUUGUUAGAGAGGAAAUCUGGGACAGGAUCUCCCAGGAUGCCAGGUAUGCCUACUAUCUGUCAAAAAUUUAAAACAAACAACAAAAAAGCCUCUAAGUAACAAAAGAUAAGGAUACAUCUAUGGCUCUUAUGUGGAAAGCAAGGUUUCAUUCAGCACUAUUAGCCUUUAACACGUGGAAUUAACCGAGAAGCAGGAGACCUGUGCUGCUGGUGCCUCACGCCUGUAGUCCCAGCACUGUGGGAGGCCGAGGGAGGAGGCUCGCUUGAGCCUGGGAGUGCAAGACCAACCUGGGCAUCAUGGUGAGACCUGUCUCUACAAAAAAAUAAAAAUAAAAAUAAAUUAGCUGGGCACAGGGGUUUGUGCCUGUAGUCCCAGCUACUUGGGAGGCUGAGGUGGGAGGAUCACUUGAGCCCAGGAGGUCCAGGCUACAGUAAGCUGUGAUUGUGCCACUGCACUCCACCCUGCGUGACAGAGCGAGACCCUGUCUCACCAAAAAAAAAUAAAGAAAGAAAGAAAAGAAAUGGUGUCAAACAGAAGUCAGAAGCAAAGCACCAAAGAAUAAGUUCUGACUUUGAGCAGGCCAGUGCUUUUCUUCUUCAAGGUGUAAGUGAAGAUGCAGAUUACAUGGUUUGCCCAUUUCUCAGUAUUGUGACCAAAUCAUUCUUUUGGAAUAUGACUUGGAAAAAUUGCUCUAUUAGUCACAUCUUCAAAUAUUUAUAAUUUCUCACGUAUGCUUAGAAAUAAUUAGGGUUGAAAUAAAGCAUUCGCACAUCUACCCACUUUCUUCGGGACUGUAAUGUUAAUGCUUGUGGCCACACACAAUUUGAGGCUUAGCAGGCAUCCUUUAAUCCUGAAGUGUUAAUAAAGUGGUGGUUUCUGUUGCUGUUA